UAGGGAAUAUUGGACAAUGGGCGAAAGCCUGAUCCAGCAACGCCGCGUGCGCGAUGACGGCCUUCGGGUUGUAAAGCGCUUUUAGAAGAGAUGAGAAAGGACAGUAUCCUCAGAAUAAGCCUCGGCGAACUACGUGCCAGCAGCCGCGGUAAGACGUAGGAGGCUAGCGUUAUCCGGAUUUAUUGGGCGUAAAGCGCGUGCAGGCGGUUUGAUAAGUUGGAUGUGAAAUCUCCCGGCUUAACUGGGAGCGGUCGUUCAAAACUAUCAGACUAGAGAAUGGGAGAGGAAGGUGGAAUUCCGGGUGUAGUGGUGAAAUGCGUAGAUAUCCGGAGGAACACCAGUGGCGAAAGCGGCCUUCUAGACCAUUUCUGACGCUAAGACGCGAAAGCGAGGGUAGCAAACGG
rnacentral:rRNA from 1 species